GGCCGUUGUCGGUGACGAUGGAUUAAGGGAUGCCAAAUCGACAAAUGAUACUCCUUCAUAUGAAGCGCUCUAUGUCCGUCUGAACCAUGAUCGUCAUGGGCUCUACUUCUACUUAUUUGGUGAAGUAGUCGGUUGCUACGAUCAUCAUGCCUUUGCCUCUGGUAGUCUGGCUGGUGAUUAGCUAGGACUUGGAAUGAAUGGAAAGCUUUUUCACCACCAAGUCUUUUGUCAUUCGAAGGCCUGCUAGUGGGGCUUCGUACUCUGCUUCGUUGUUAGAUGUUUUGAAGUUUAGAGUGAUCGCCUGCUUGAGCAUUGAAACGUCUGGGGUGGCAAGAACCACGGCUGCUCACGAGCCUUCGUAGUUGGAUACGUCGUCGACAUGCAAAUGCCAAAAAUCUCCAUUGAGGGAGCAGGUGUGGCUAAAGUGUGCUCGGCUGCCUUCAGAAAACUUUGCAUCUGCCAAGGUCUACGCCUUUAUCGUCAUCGGUUUGGAUUCGGCAGAAUAGUGCGUCAUGAUGAUGAUUGCUUGCGUUUGAAGGUA
rnacentral:lncRNA from 1 species